CGUAUCUACAAACCCCUUUUUGCACCGCCCGCUCCUUCACCUCAGCCAAUCAGGGGCCUCUAAGGUCGGGUUUCCGCUCCGGAAGUCUUGGUUUCCUCAGUGGAGAACAAUCUUUGAUCAAAUGGUAGUGAAAUAACCAGAAGCGUGCCGGCUGCGACGGACCACACAGAAGCGUGGCCGAGAGGAGCUACCCCUCGCCCAAGGUCGGGGCGGUGGCCGAGAGGGCCAGGCUGCGAGGGCACAGAGCGACUGAGAGGAGCUACCCUACGCCCGAGGUCAGGGGCGGUGGCCAAGAGGAGCUACCCCAUGUCCAAGGAGCGGUGGCUGCACAGGUGCAGGAGGGCCGAGAGGAGCUAUUCCACGUUCACGGUCA